rnacentral:rRNA from 1 species
GAUGAACGCUGGCGGCGUGCUUAACACAUGCAAGUCGAACGGAAAGGCCCAAGCUUGCUUGGGUACUCGAGUGGCGAACGGGUGAGUAACACGUGGGUGAUCUGCCCUGCACUUCGGGAUAAGCCUGGAAACUGGGUCUAAUACCGGAUAGGACCACAUUUUGGAUGGUGUGGUGGAAAGUUUUUCGGUGUGGGAUGAGCUCGCGGCCUAUCAGCUUGUUGGUGGGGUAAUGGCCUACCAAGGCGUCGACGGGUAGCCGGCCUGAGAGGGUGUACGGCCACAUUGGGACUGAGAUACGGCCCAGACUCCUACGGGAGGCAGCAGUGGGGAAUAUUGCACAAUGGGCGCAAGCCUGAUGCAGCGACGCCGCGUGGGGGAUGACGGCCUUCGGGUUGUAAACUCCUUUCGCUAGGGACGAAGCGCAAGUGACGGUACCUGGAGAAGAAGCACCGGCUAACUACGUG